GGCCGCCUUAGCCGAGUGGUAAGGUUCGGGACUUUGAUUCGUCAGGUCGUUGGUUCGAGGCCCGUAACGGUCU